rnacentral:rRNA from 1 species
GGGUUGUGAGGUUAAGCGACUAAGCGUACACGGUGGAUGCCCUGGCAGUCAGAGGCGAUGAAGGACGUGCUAAUCUGCGAUAAGCGUCGGUAAGGUGAUAUGAACCGUUAUAACCGGCGAUUUCCGAAUGGGGAAACCCAGUGUGUUUCGACACACUAUCAUUAACUGAAUCCAUAGGUUAAUGAGGCGAACCGGGGGAACUGAAACAUCUAAGUACCCCGAGGAAAAGAAAUCAACCGAGAUUCCCCCAGUAGCGGCGAGCGAACGGGGAGCAGCCCAGAGCCUGAAUCAGUGUGUGUGUUAGUGGAAGCGUCUGGAAAGGCGCGCGAUACAGGGUGACAGCCCCGUACACAAAAAUGCACAUACUGUGAGCUCGAUGAGUAGGGCGGGACACGUGGUAUCCUGUCUGAAUAUGGGGGGACCAUCCUCCAAGGCUAAAUACUCCUGACUGACCGAUAGUGAACCAGUACCGUGAGGGAAAGGCGAAAAGAACCCCGGCGAGGGGAGUGAAAAAGAACCUGAAACCGUGUACGUACAAGCAGUGGGAGCACGCUUAGGCGUGUGACUGCGUACCUUUUGUAUAAUGGGUCAGCGACUUAUAUUCUGUAGCAAGGUUAACCGAAUAGGGGAGCCGAAGGGAAACCGAGUCUUAACUGGGCGUUAAGUUGCAGGGUAUAGACCCGAAACCCGGUGAUCUAGCCAUGGGCAGGUUGAAGGUUGGGUAACACUAACUGGAGGACCGAACCGACUAAUGUUGAAAAAUUAGCGGAUGACUUGUGGCUGGGGGUGAAAGGCCAAUCAAACCGGGAGAUAGCUGGUUCUCCCCGAAAGCUAUUUAGGUAGCGCCUCGUGAAUUCAUCUCCGGGGGUAGAGCACUGUUUCGGCAAGGGGGUCAUCCCGACUUACCAACCCGAUGCAAACUGCGAAUACCGGAGAAUGUUAUCACGGGAGACACACGGCGGGUGCUAACGUCCGUCGUGAAGAGGGAAACAACCCAGACCGCCAGCUAAGGUCCCAAAGUCAUGGUUAAGUGGGAAACGAUGUGGGAAGGCCCAGACAGCCAGGAUGUUGGCUUAGAAGCAGCCAUCAUUUAAAGAAAGCGUAAUAGCUCACUGGUCGAGUCGGCCUGCGCGGAAGAUGUAACGGGGCUAAACCAUGCACCGAAGCUGCGGCAGCGACGCUGAUGCGUUGUUGGGUA